rnacentral:misc_RNA from 1 species
CUCCAAAUGGAGUGAUUCAAAAAGAGAAUUAAAGAAGACACAAUAAGAAGCAACUUUGAUGAAGAGAGUGUAGUCAAAUUUCUACUGUAGAAAUGUCCAAUGGAAUAAUAAACAUAAGCCAUGGAAUCUGAAAAUUUGAAAUAACGUUUAAUAAGAUUUGAAAUGAAAUUUGCAAUAAAUACCAACAAUUGUAGAAUUCAAAAUGUGGUAUAUUGGUGUCAUUAGAACUAACAUACCUAUUAUUUAUGAAAAAGUCAACAUUUUGAUUGACUAGUAAGGUGAAUAGUAACUCUUAAAUAUCAAAUACAAUGAAUUACACAAUUAACUUUGUAAUAUGCCCUAUUAUGCCUAGUAUGAUUGGUUUGAAUAGGUUACCAUGCCAAUAGGGUUCUGAUAGCAAUAAUGCAUAUGGUUUUAUACCAUUUCGUGAUUUAUGGCAUUUGGUGCCAUUUUGUAAUAUUAUGGUCUAUGGCCAUUCUGCAAUACUUGAUACACUUGGAGAUGUAUUACGGCUUUGUGCCUAAUGAUUAUUACGGCUUAUCAGCUAUUCUGUUACACACCUGGAGACACUUUGUGACCGAUGGUG